UCGGAAUUACUGGGAGUAAAGGGCGCGUAGGCGGGAUGGCAAGUCGGUCGUGAAAUCCCUCGGCUCAACUGAGGAUCGUCGAUCGAUACUGCCGUUCUUGAGGAUUGCAGAGGAGACUGGAAUUCCCGGUGUAGCGGUGAAAUGUGUAGAGAUCGGGAGGAACACCGGUGGCGAAGGCGGGUCUCUGGGCAAUUCCUGACGCUGAGGCGCGAAAGCGUGGGGAGCAAACAGG
rnacentral:rRNA from 1 species